CACGUGGUGUCACCCAGCGCGCGCGGUCUCGCGCCGCCAUCACUGCUCACGGAGUCGCUGCCGCAGUCUGGUCCUGGUGCAAGAAACGCAAGAAUGAAGCCUGCCAAUGCCCGCCCCCUCUGCUCCACGUGGCAUGGCACUGCAGCAACUCCCCGCCCGUGUGGGCCCGUGCAGUUGCACCGCCUGCACACGCGGCAGGAGACGUGGCCACUGGUGGUGUGCCGCGUGCUCGUAGUUUUAGUGGACUGUAUCGUCCUUGCCCGCACAGGAAAUCAAAGUGGAGCCUGGGACGCGUCACGCAGCCGCCCCUACCUGCUGCCGGUGUGCGGACACGCGUCUCGUGUGGAGCAUGCCUGCAGGACAAAGGCACGCGCACGCGCGGGCUGCGAGUUUGUGUGCCCGACCUGCAAGGUCCCCGGCCUCCUACCUGCAGCCCGACGAAGCGCUUGGAAAUUUCCUACUCACGCUGAAGGAAAUGCUGGAGGAGCGAUUUGGUGGGAAGCCUCGGCCGCUCUACCCUGAGCGGCCGCUCGCGCAGGGCAGCCGCGGCGCUGGUGUCUGGCACCUAUCUUGUCGAGGGCUCUGUACAGCACAAACCACUGCACCUGGGCCACGGCCCGAAUCCAAAGCCUCCGUUCUGACGGUCAGAUUCAGGUCUGUUCCCGUAGUCGAGUUCACGUUAAAAUUUAUGCUGGGCAAUGAGUUGAUUGAAACCUAGAGAUGUAAAAUAGCAGACAGGUCACUUCUGUCACCAGGCCUUUUAGCUGCGUUCCAACCAAGGCUUUUUCUAUUUCCACACCUCCGAUUAGCACAGUUGGCUAUGUACGGUGCGAAAGAAGUUCAACAUACAUAUUAAUAAGUUUGUUUAUCCCAGGAAGGCCUCAGGCUUUCACAACCAUUAUCCAUAAUCGAGGUUUUUGGGUUAGACGACGUAAAUAUGAAUGUGUCGUUAAACCCGCCACCGCCAACACAGCCAAUUACUGUAGUAAGGUUUGUCACGUAAUCAAAACGUGCUAAUUCGUUACUAGUUCAGCACACUGGUGUGUUCGACAGUAAACCCCCAACAUUUACAAUUCAAUACUCUUUGGUUCUUUUGGUAAAGUCACGUAGGUAUAACAUAAAAUUUACAAUUCGAGUACGACGUUUUGUCAGUAAUUCCAACUCACAUCAACAGGCGAUAGCCAGGGUUGUUAAGAGCGAAGCAGGAGGAUUUCUCAAGAGAUAAACGUGAUGUCUCACUUGUGGGGCAAUUAGGCAGAAGGCCGGGGAGGGGGGGAGGUUAUAAAUGCAUAUAAAUUACAAUGGAUAUCCAAUAUCAGUUGGGUUAUUCAUAGGAUAAUCAACAGACAUACAUUCACAUUAUGCAUGCACACCAUGCAUAUCCAUCCUGCCGUUUUUGGUUGCAAGAAAGACGGGUUUUUUUUAUUCCAGCGUUCAGAUAGUUGCCCAGUACCAGUUACGUUGCCAUGGCGUGUUGUAGGCUGAAGCAUUGACGCUAGAGGAUGACCGAAACUGAAUUUCGGGUUUCGGCCGAAACCGAAACCAGACCGAAAGUUAAAUAUUGGCUUUUGGCCGAAACCGAAGCCGAAACCGAAAGUUGAACUUCACUUUCGGCCAAAACCGAAAGUUUAACUACACUUUCGACCGAGACCAAAACAGAAAGGUUUAUAACCAAAGUUACCGAACACAAGAUUUAUGAAAUACUAGCUUUACUACCCGGCUUCGCCCGGGACUUGGAUUCACCACGGCCGGCUGCCUUUGUCUCCCCAGUGGCGAUGUUGACACACCACUUACUCGUUUGAGGCUGAGUCGACCUAGGGGAGGCCCAGGACCAGUUCAAAUAAUCGUCACCGGCAGUGGCCAUGAGUGGAAAUUGAACUUGGGUCGUCGGGUUCGUAGCGCAGCGCGCGAAUCGCUACGCAGUCGCUGCCCCCCCCUACAUACACACAGGAUAAGGACAAAAAUCCACCAUGUAGCCUGUGAGACUGUAGGGAGCAAGUGCUGUUAGCGAGUACCUAUGAAGGCCGGCAUGGCACACGAGGGGGUGGGUGGCCAGCACCACGCCAUGUUCGUAGCGCUAAGCGCUACACAUGCGCGGGUGACAUGACAGAUGUGACAUCACAGCUCGCUUGCCGUGCAAAAUAUAUGCAUUAAUGCACCCCCCCCCCCCCAAAAAAAAAUAAUACCGAAGUGUAUGCAUGGUGUACAGUAUGGAAAGUACCCACAUGGCAAAUUUAAAGUUUGUUGCAUGUCGGGAAGUACGCUAAACAUUUUGAACAGACACAUUCACAAAUUUUCAUUUUUUAUAUAUAGGUCAUGAUGCAAUGCUACUUUAAUAAAAAAUCUAUCUAGAACUAAUCAUUCAGAGCCUGCAGUAAGAGUCGUUAAAUAUCAAAUCUUUAGGUGUUACUUAGUAAUUAUAUCUAAACAAACGAAUGUUGUAGUUAAGAAAUACCAGUUUUUCCGCAUUCUCGCCCAGCAGGUUGCUGUUUCUUGCAUCAGAAUCGACUUUAGUGAUUAACUGCUCCGUUUAUUAAGUUUAAUUUUCUACUUCACUCAGAUUCGUAAUUUUGUUAUCACUAAUUCGCUACGUAACUAUUAACUAACUGAAUAACAAUAUUGUCAGAUUUCGAUUUAAAGCUUUCGUGACUGCAGGGAUUCAUCUUCUUGGUUCUUUCGGUAAAGUCACAUAGAAGGGAAAUAAUAAAAUAAUAAAAAUAAAACAUAAAAUAAUUCUCACGACGU